rnacentral:lncRNA from 1 species
UCAAUAUAUGGACUUCUUAAUGAGCCUGAAGACAAAAACCACAUCCUUGCUGUGUUCAUAGGAGGCGAUAUCUCUCCGAAGUUCACGUGGGAUCAUUUCUGAUGAAUACACCAGGUAUAAGGAGGUGUGUCUCUCAGACCUACAACAAUCUAAGGAGGAAUGCCCUAAACCUUGGUUCAAGUGGUCCUGGAACAAAUCCCCCAAGGAUACCAAGAGACAAUUAUGCUGAACCAUUGUUCCCAGGAGAAAUAUGGGGUAUGUUCCUACCAGCCCUGACUAUAGCAUUUUUGUCAACCAAUCCAUAUAUAACUUUGUUUUAUGUAUGUUUCUGUUUAAAGGCACCUUAUCUAAUAUAAAGUGUUGAUUCAUUGGUGGGUAAGUAGUUGGUUGGUUAGUGGGUGGUUUGUUGGCUGACUGGUUGGUGGGUGAGUGGUUUUUGGUUGGUU